AUGGAAAAAUUUCAGGGGAGAGAGAAUCAGAUAUUGAGAGUGGGAGAACCGUCUUCUUCUUCCUCCUUCCCAUUCCUACGAAUCAGAGAGAUCGAGUCUGGCUUCAAACCAGGAAAAAAAAAAAAAAAACCACAGCCACCUAGUUCAGUUCGCCACCAGUGCCUGCGUUUAUCAAUAAUCUGCCACUGUUGAGAUCAGAGCCACAAGUUCAUCGUCUCCCUGCUUCACCGCCGGUGCCUUACUUUCCCUCCCUUUCGUUCAACAUUAAAACUCAGAUCUUCUCCCCUAUUCUCCGUCACCGCGGUGUUUCUGUGACUAGGGGGAAACUUCGAACUUCUCCCCCUCCUCUGUCCGCGAUGUCCGUUGGCGUGUACGGGCCUUGAGUUUCGGUUCCCUAUGUCAGAUUAUUCUUUUUCCUGGUUUAGCAUCAAUUUCUGUAUUGGGAUUUUAUACGGUACACUGGUUGCUAACAGUAGUUCCGUUAGCCCUUGGCGCGCCAUAGUACACCUAGCUAGCAAGGUGCUUAUAGGAGGUGCUAGCCCCGUGCGAUGGUCAACACACGUGGAAUGGAGGGAUGAUUAUUCGUGAGCAUCGUACUCACGUUUGUUUCAUGGUUUCAAGCCGCGUUUGGUUAGCAUUACCCUUGUAGAAUGUGUGUCCACAUUUGUUUCGUAGCUUCGGCUGCGUUUGGUUAUUUUUACUCGUGGACUGUGUGUCCGCGUUUGUUUUCGUAGUAUAAGCCGCGUUUGGUUAUUGACCCUCGUGAACUGUGUGUCCACGUUUGUUAAUUAUUUUGAUAAGUCUCAAUAAUUAUGAAUCCAAUUAUUUGAUGAUUUUAUAUUCCAUUGAUUUUAUUCAGUAA